CUUCUUCUUAUUUAUACUUUGUUUUUUUCUCCAGUUUCUCUCGUAAUUAUUCAUACCAUUUGUUUUUCUUUUCAUGAGUUCUCUGAAAUACUCUUUAUCAAUAAACUUUUCAAUAUUUCACUGCCUUUUAAGUCCACGGAUGGUUAAUCCUUUGAAUCCUCUGUCAAGUCCAUAACAUACUAAUCUAGUUGUCAAUUUGUCCUCGAUUUACAACUAAUUGAUGACAACAACAAUUACAUGAUAGAAUCCUAGAUAUAAUAGUUUGACCAGAUCUACUACGCGUUUAUUUUCUUCUCAAAUUGUUCAGAUUAGCUGAUCUAGUUUGAUUGUUGCAGUCAUGGAUGAAGGUAAAUCUGUAGACGAGGAAGAAGAUAUUCAUCAAAUUAGAUUGGCAUAAAUCUCACAAUCAAAUCGACGAAAUACCAAAGUAGCAGAUUCAUCAUGGGAGCAUGUCCAAGUGAACCACAUGGACACAAGUUCUAAAGACAAGAGCAAAAUCCAUAAGUUCUUUCCAUCUAGAACUCCGACAAAGAAUGAAAUUGUGUUUGCGGCACCAACAUGAGAGAAAAUCCAUACCAGGAGGCAUAUGGAGAAGUAUUUGAAGGAAAACAAUGGCCCAAAGAUCUCAAAAUUUUAUUGGGGCAAAGACGAGACUCCAAGAAGAUCAGCAAGAAUCAUUGAGAAGGCCAAGGCAGCUCCUCUAGUAGAGCAUCAAAGUGAGCCCCCUAAGAAAUGGGGCAAAAAGUCAGCAACGUAUUUAAAAGCAUCAAAACGGAAGAUUGAUGACAAGGAGUUGAAGGGUCUGAAGUUGUCCAGACUAAAGAUGAAGAAAAGAUUGGAAAACCAGCAUAGGAGAUGAAGAAAAGAUGGUGGAAUAGAGAUCGGAAGAUUGGUCAAUGCUCCAAAUAUAAUGAAUAGAAUAAACUCUUGGCUUCUGACUUCUCUCACUCUUAUGACGCCUUUAAUUCUAUCCGAUGAUGACCGUAGUUUUUGUUGUUUAUCUGAUAAACCAUCAAACCAUUGGCCAAUGGUUUAAUGAACAAUCAAAUAAACAACAAAGACUAGAAUCAUCAUUGGAUAGAAUUAAAGGCCUCAGUAGAGUGACCGAAGACAGAAGCCAAGAGUUUAUUCUAUUCCUUGUUUGGAGCUUUAAUCAAUCUUCCAAUCUCUAUUCCACCAUCUUUUCUUCAUCUCCUUUGCUGGUUUUCGAAUCUUUUCUUCAUCUUUAGUCUGGACAACUUCAGACCCUUCAGGUCCAUGUCAUCAAUCUUCCGUUUUGAUGCUUUUAAAUAACCUGCUGACUUUUUGCCCCGUUUCUUAGGGGGCUCACUUUGAUGCUCUACUAGAGGAAGUUGUGGCCUUCUCAAUGAUUCUUGUUGAUCUUCUUGGAGUACCAUGAGGCAUAUGAAGAAGUAUUCUUGUUGUAAAGUAACCAUAGCUUGUUUAGACAACUUAUCUUGACAAUCUGUUUUCGCAUGCUAUUAAACAAAUUGGAUUGAAAAAUAUGUAAUCUUUUACAAAAUAUGACAAUGGAUUAAGUAAUCCUUCGAUCUAUUUGAUGAUUUCAUAAAUUAAUCUAAACAUCAACUUUGACCGAUCCAA